rfam:Brachypodium distachyon strain Bd21 chromosome 2, whole genome shotgun sequence.
AAUGUACUCCCUCCGUUUCAUAAUUUUUGUCUCAAAUUUGUCUGAAAAUGGAUGUAUCUAUUCUUAAAAACGGUCUAGAUACAUGUAAUAUUUCGACGAGAAUUAUGAAACGGAGAGAGUAGAUG